rnacentral:rRNA from 1 species
GGAGUUAUGAAAUGCCUGUGGGCGAAUAGUCCGGCGGUUUGACAAAGGCCCAAGAAGAACCCACGGCUAACUUCGUGCCAACACCCGCGGUAAUACAAAUGUGGCAAGCGUUGUUCAAAAUCUGUGGGCAUAAGGGGUGCAUACGCGGUCCUGUGUGUCGGGGGUGAAAGCCCCCGGCUCACCCGGGGAAUUGCUUCCUAAACUGCGGGACUCGUGUGCAAGAGGGGAGAGUG